rnacentral:rRNA from 1 species
AACGAACGCUGGCGGCAUGCCUAACACAUGCAAGUCGAACUAAACCUUCGGGUUUAGUUUCGCACGGGUUCGUAACGCGUUGGAACCUGCGUUUAGGUUCGGAAUAACUCCCCGAAAGGGGUGCUAAUACCGGAUAAUAUUUUCUGACCAAAGAUUUAUCGCAGUUGGAUUGGCUCGCAUUGGAUUAGCUAGUUUGUAAGGUAAAAGCCUACCAAGGCGACGUUACAUAGCUGGUCUGAGAGGAUGAUCAGCCAGACUGGGAGUGAGACACGGCACAGAGUCCUACGGGAGGAAGGAGUGGGGAAGAAUGGACAAUGGGGGAUCGGAUGAAGCAGCAAUGCCGCGUGAGUGAUGAAGGUCUUAGUGUAGUAUAGCUCUAUUACCCGAGAUGAUAAUGACAGUACCGGCAGAAUAAGCGCCGGCUAACUCCGUG